rnacentral:rRNA from 1 species
GACGAACGCUGGCGGCGUGCCUAAUACAUGCAAGUCGAACGCUUCUUUCCUCCCGAGUGCUUGCACUCAAUUGGAAAGAGGAGUGGCGGACGGGUGAGUAACACGCUGGGUAACCUACCCAUCAGAGGGGGAUAACACUUGGAAACAGGUGCUAAUACCGCAUAACAGUUUAUGCCGCAUGGCAUAAGAGUGAAAGGCGCUUUCGGGUGUCGCUGAUGGAUGGACCCGCGGUGCAUUAGCUAGUUGGUGAGGUAACGGCCUCACCAAGGCCACGAUGCAUAGCCGACCUGAGAGGGUGAUCGGCCACACUGGGACUGAGACACGGCCCAGACUCCUACGGGAGUGCAGCAGUAGGGAAUCUUCGGCAAUGGACGAAAGUCUGACCGAGCAACGCCGCGUGAGUUGAAGAAGGUUUUCGGAUCGUAAAACUCUGUUGUUAGAGAAGAACAAGGACGUUAGUAACUGAACGUCCCCUGACGGUAUCUAACCAGAAAGCCACGGCUAACUACGUGCCAGCAGCCGCGGUAAUACGUAGGUGGCAAUGCGUUGUCCGGAUUUAUUGGGCGGUAAAGCGAGCGCAGGCGUGUUUCUUAAGUCUGAUGUGAAAGCCCCCGGCUUCAACACGCGGGGAGGGUGCAUUGGAAACCUGUGGGAGAGCCUUGAGUGCUCCAUGAUAGAAGAGGAGAGUGGAAAUUUCCAUGUGGUAGAUCCGGUGAAAUGCGUAGAUGAUACUGGAGGAACUACCACGUGGACGAAGAGCGGCUCUCUUGGUACUGUAGACUGACGCUGAGGCUACGAAAGACGUGGGGGCAGCAUAAGCAAACAGGAUUAGAUACCCCUGGUAGUUCCACGCCGUAAACCGAUGAGUGACUAAGUGUUGGAGAUGGGUUUCCGCCCUUCAGUGCUGCAGCAAACGCAUUAAGUCACUCCGCCUGGGGAGUACGACCGCAAGGUUGAAACUCAAAGGAAUUGACGGGGGCCCGCACAAGCGGUGGAGCAUGUGGUUUAAUUCGAUAGCAACGCGAAGAACCUUACCUAGGUCUUGACAUCCUUUGACCACUCCUAGAGAUAGAGCUUUCCCUUCGGGGACAAAGUGACAGGUGGUGCAUGGCUUGUCGUCAGCUCGUGUCGUGAAGAUGUUGGGGUUAAGUCCCCGCAACGAGCGCAACCCUUAUUGUUAGUUGCCAUCAUUUAGUUGGGCACUCUAGCGAGACUGCCGGUGACAAACCGGAGGAAGGUGGGGAUGACGUCAAAUCAUCAUGCCCCUUAUGACCUGGGCUACACACGUGCUACAAUGGGAAGUACAACGAGUCGCUAGACCGCGAGGUCAUGCAAAUCUCUUAAAGCUUCUCUCAGUUCGGAUUGCAGGCUGCAACUCGCACUGCAUGAAGCCGGAAUCGCUAGUAAUCGCGGAUCAGCACGCCGCGGUGAAUACGUUCCCGGGCCUUGUACACACCGCCCGUCACACCACGAGAGUUUGUAACACCCGAAGUAGU